CCUACGGGUGGCAGCAGUAGGGAAUAUUGGGCAAUGGGCGAGAGCCUGACCCAGCCAUGCCGCGUGCAGGAAGAAGGCCUUCUGGGUUGUAAACUGCUUUUGAUCGGGAACAAAGAGCCCUUGCGAGGGAAGUUGAGUGUACCGAUAGAAUAAGCACCGGCUAACUCCGUGCCAGCAGCCGCGGUAAUACGGAGGGUGCAAGCGUUGUCCGGAUUUAUUGGGUUUAAAGGGUGCGUAGGCGGCCGAUUAAGUCAGUGGUGAAAUACUGCAGCUCAACUGUAGCAUUGCCAUUGAUACUGGUUGGCUUGAGUGCAGACGAGGUAGGCGGAAUUUAUGGUGUAGCGGUGAAAUGCAUAGAUACCAUAAAGAACACCGAUUGCGAAGGCAGCUUACUAGGCUGUAACUGACGCUGAGGCACGAAAGCGUGGGGAUCGAACAGG
rnacentral:rRNA from 1 species